AGACUUUGAUCCUGGCUCAGGACGAACGCUGGCGGCGUGCUUAACACAUGCAAGUCGAACGGUGAUGGAGAGCUUGCUCUCCGGAUCAGUGGCGAACGGGUGAGUAACACGUGAGUAACCUGCCCCUGACUCUGGGAUAAGCGUUGGAAACGACGUCUAAUACCGGAUAUGACUUACGGACGCAUGUUCUGUGGGUGGAAAGAUUUUUCGGUUGGGGAUGGACUCGCGGCCUAUCAGCUUGUUGGUGAGGUAAUGGCUCACCAAGGCGACGACGGGUAGCCGGCCUGAGAGGGUGACCGGCCACACUGGGACUGAGACACGGCCCAGACUCCUACGGGAGGCAGCAGUGGGGAAUAUUGCACAAUGGGCGCAAGCCUGAUGCAGCAACGCCGCGUGAGGGACGACGGCCUUCGGGUUGUAAACCUCUUUUGGCAGGGAAGAAGCGAAAGUGACGGUACCUGCAGAAAAAGCACCGGCUAACUACGUGCCAGCAGCCGCGGUAAUACGUAGGGUGCAAGCGUUGUCCGGAAUUAUUGGGCGUAAAGAGCUCGUAGGCGGUUUGUCGCGUCUGCUGUGAAAACGCGAGGCUCAACCUCGCGCCUGCAGUGGGUACGGGCAGACUAGAGUGCGGUAGGGGAGAUUGGAAUUCCUGGUGUAGCGGUGGAAUGCGCAGAUAUCAGGAGGAACACCGAUGGCGAAGGCAGAUCUCUGGGCCGUUACUGACGCUGAGGAGCGAAAGCGUGGGGAGCGAACAGGAUUAGAUACCCUGGUAGUCCACGCCGUAAACGUUGGGAACUAGAUGUGGGGUCCAUUCCACGGAUUCCGUGUCGCAGCUAACGCAUUAAGUUCCCCGCCUGGGGAGUACGGCCGCAAGGCUAAAACUCAAAGGAAUUGACGGGGGCCCGCACAAGCGGCGGAGCAUGCGGAUUAAUUCGAUGCAACGCGAAGAACCUUACCAAGGCUUGACAUGCACCUGAAAAGGCUGGAAACAGUCUCCUCGCAAGACAGGUGCACAGGUGGUGCAUGGUUGUCGUCAGCUCGUGUCGUGAGAUGUUGGGUUAAGUCCCGCAACGAGCGCAACCCUCGUUCUAUGUUGCCAGCGCGUUAUGGCGGGAACUCAUAGGAGACUGCCGGGGUCAACUCGGAGGAAGGUGGGGAUGACGUCAAAUCAUCAUGCCCCUUAUGUCUUGGGCUUCACGCAUGCUACAAUGGCCGGUACAAAGGGCUGCGAUACCGCAAGGUGGAGCGAAUCCCAAAAAGCCGGUCUCAGUUCGGAUUGAGGUCUGCAACUCGACCUCAUGAAGUCGGAGUCGCUAGUAAUCGCAGAUCAGCAACGCUGCGGUGAAUACGUUCCCGGGCCUUGUACACACCGCCCGUCAAGUCAUGAAAGUCGGUAACACCCGAAGCCGGUGGCCCAACCCUUGUGGAGGGAGCCGUCGAAGGUGGGAUCGGUAAUUAGGACUAAGUCGUAACAAGGUAACC
rnacentral:rRNA from 1 species